rnacentral:rRNA from 1 species
UCGAGGAUCUUUAGCAAUGCCCGAAAGGGUGACUAUGCGACGCCGCGUGCAGGAUGAAGGCCUUCGGGUUGUAAACUGCUGUCAGGGGGGAAGAAGAUUCACGCGUUAAUAGCGUGUGAAUUUGACAUCACUCCCAAAGGAAGCCACGGCUAACUCUGUGCCAGCAGCCGCGGUAAGACAGAGGUGGCAAGCGUUGUUCGGAUUUAUUGGGUGUAAAGGGCAGGUAGGUGGUUAUGUAAGUCUGUUGUGAAAUCCCACAGCUCAACUGUGGAACUGCAUCGGAAACUACAUAGCUUGAGUAUCAGAGAGGUGAGAGGAAUUCUCGGUGUAAGGGUGAAAUCUGUAGAUAUCGAGAGGAACACCAGAGGCGAAGGCGUCUCACUGGCUGAUUACUGACACUGAACUGCGAAAGCAAGGGGAGCAAACA